GACGAACGCUGGCGGCGUGCUUAACACAUGCAAGUCGAACGGAAAGGCCCUGCUUUUGUGGGGUGCUCGAGUGGCGAACGGGUGAGUAACACGUGAGUAACCUGCCCUUGACUUUGGGAGAACAUCAGGAAACUGGGGCUAAUACAGGGUAGAAGCUCCUGCUGCGUGGGGGGGGUUGGAAAGUGUCGGCGGUUGGGGAUGGACUCGCGGCUUAUCAGCUUGUUGGUGGGGUAGUGGCUUACCAAGGCUUUGACGGGUAGCCGGCCUGAGAGGGUGACCGGCCACAUUGGGACUGAGAUACGGCCCAGACUCCUACGGGAGGCAGCAGUGGGGAAUAUUGCAGAAUGGGCGGAAGCCUGAUGCAGCAACGCCGCGUGCGGGAUGACGGCCUUCGGGUUGUAAACCGCUUUCGCCUGUGACGAAGCGUGAGUGACGGUAAUGGGUAAAGAAGCACCGGCUAACUACGUG
rnacentral:rRNA from 1 species